rnacentral:lncRNA from 1 species
CUAAAUAGAGCUCCAAUUCCAUUGAUUGCACAAAGCACUUUUCAACAACUUGAGGCUGCAGUGUCAUUUGGAAAGGGUGAAAAGAACAAACAAAGCAGAGAAAUACGAAGAGUUUGUUCAAUUGGAUAACGGCCUUAUCCCCAGAAUUCUGGUUUGGGUCCCGUGACAAACUUGCGAUUGGCCUGCCUGUCGAGGUCAAUAAAACCAUAAAUAUCAAACUGUCCUUUUUGUCUUGUCUCAUCUCUGAAAGAUGAUGAUGAUGAUGAUCAAAGGUUUGCAGAACAGUAGUGGGAUUUGUUGGGGAACCAACCAGAGGAGAGCUGGCAUAAUUUUAUACUCUGUUCUGUAAAUACACACCCACUUCGGUGAGGCUAACCGUUAGAGCGCAAUCGACCACGUCCAUACCUGCCAGGAUCCAAAAGAUGGUGAACUACACAUGAGCGCGGUGAAGACGGGGAGAGGGAACUCUGGUGGAGGCUCGUAAUGAUACUGACGUGAAAGGCUAAUCGAACUGUCUAGUAAUUGGUUCCCUCCCAAGUUUCCUUCGGAAUAAAUGUUGUUGUGUAUGUAUGAAAGCUUAAAGCCGGUUGAUUUUUCUGUAACCAUCGCCUUAACGAUUGAACUAAUCAAUUUAGGUUCAUCGUAGAGGGAUCGAUAGCAUCAGGUUGUUGGAAGAUGGUGAACGACAUAUUCUCGAAUGUCGAGAUCUUUUCGUAACAAGACGGUGAACGACAUGUCCUCGAAGAGCAGGAUGAGAGGGUGGGUUUGUCCAUGUUAGGUGGUGAUUGAAGGUCUUAAGAUGAUGAGUCACUUUCUCUGGGGAGAGAGCAAGUGAAAAGAGAAAGAAAACAAAAGAAAUGGGAAGAAGAGAGCAAAAUCCUUUCGUAUGGGCUUCCCCUCCUUAAUUCUCUGUGUACUCUGUUCUGUUCUGCUCUGCUCUGUUCCCCACCAGUCACACACUCAAUAAAUUUGUACCAUUUCUUUUACAUAUAUUUUUUUAAAAUGAGUCAAAUUUGAAUCAGAAUAUUUAGAUUUGAUAGGUUUGCGAGCGGGUUCGUGCACUUAAAUGCUAAUCCAAUAAUAUGGCUCAUUAAUAGCAAAAUGUAUUUUACAUCAAAUACCAUAUAUAAUAUACCAUACGUUUAAACUUA